rnacentral:rRNA from 1 species
CUUAAACACCAAAUUAACUCAACACCAUAAAUAACAUGAAAUAAACCUAGAUUUAAAAACUAAACCAUUUUUCCACCUUAGUACGGGCGACGGAAAAGGUAAACUUAAGCGAUAGAAAGAGUACCGCAAGGGAAAGCUGAAAGAGUAGUGAAAUAAUCUAUAUAAGCACAAAAAAGCAGAGCUCAAACCUC